rnacentral:rRNA from 1 species
UGGGGAAUUUUGCACAAUGGGGGAAACCCUGAUGCAGCGACGCCGCGUGAUUUAGAAGGCCUUCGGGUUGUAAAAAUCUUUUUUACGGGAUGAAAAUGACAGUACCGUAAGAAUAAGGUCCGGCUAAAUACGUGUCAGCAGCCGCGGUAAUACGUAUGGACCGAGCGUUGUCCGGAAUCAUUGGGCGUAAAGGGUACGUAGGCGGCCUAGUAAGUUAGAAGUGAAAUAAUAUAGCUCAACUACAUAAAGCUUUUAAAACUGCUAGGCUUGAGAGAUGGAAGGGAAAGUGGAAUUCCUAGUGUAGCGGUGAAAUGCGCAGAUAUUAGGAAGAAUACCGGUGGCGAAGGCGACUUUCUGGUCAUCAUCUGACGCUGAGGUACGAAAGCGUGGGUAGCAAACAGG